GCGUGUGUGGGCGAUCUGGUUGACAUCUGGCACCCCAUUGACAGCAGGGUCGAUUCUGCUGAUCUGGCUGGCUAGGUGGGUGUCUCCUUUUCUCCUCACUGCUCCAUGAGCAUUCCUCCCCAAAGCUGCAUCCUCCCUCGAAGAGCACAAGUGCUCCCACAGCGGAGGGCUGAGGAUCAUUUCCUCCAUCAAGGGUAUACGAGCUGCUGUGCUCCUGUGCCAGAGCCUACUCCAAGCGAGCGCUCAAGAAAUGUCAACAUCCAAGGGUUGCAGGCAGCGGAGUU
rnacentral:snRNA from 1 species